GAACGCUGGCGGCAGGCCUAACACAUGCAAGUCGAACGGUAACAUAAAGAAGCUUGCUUCUUUGAUGACGAGUGGCGGACGGGUGAGUAAUGCUUGGGAACUUGCCUUUGCGAGGGGGAUAACAGUUGGAAACGACUGCUAAUACCGCAUAAUGUCUUCGGACCAAACGGGGCUUCGGCUCCGGCGCAAAGAGAGGCCCAAGUGAGAUUAGCUAGUUGGUAAGGUAAAGGCUUACCAAGGCGACGAUCUCUAGCUGUUCUGAGAGGAAGAUCAGCCACACUGGGACUGAGACACGGCCCAGACUCCUACGGGAGG
rnacentral:rRNA from 1 species